rnacentral:rRNA from 1 species
GACGAACGCUGGCGGCGUGCUUAACACAUGCAAGUCGAACGGAAAGGCCCUGCUUUUGUGGGCUGCUCUAGUGGCCAACUGGUGAGUAACACUUGAGUACCCUGCCCCUGACUUUGGGAUAACUUCAGGAAACUUGGGCUAAUCCUGCAUAGGAGCUCCUGCUGCUUGGUGGGGGCUGGAAAGUUUCGGCGGUUGGGGAUGGACUCGCGGCUUAUCAGCUUGUUGGUGGGGUAGUGGCAUACCAAGGUUUUGACGGGUAGCCGGGCUGGGAGGGUGACCGGACAAAUUGGGACGGAGAUACGGCACAGACUAGAAAGGGAGGCAGGAGUGGGGAAUAUUGCAUUAGGGGCGGAAGGAUGAUGCAGCAAAGCAGCGUGGGGGAAGACAGGAUUCGGGUAGUAUACCGCAUUCGCCUGUGACGAAGCGUGAGUGACGGUAAUGGGUAAAGAAGCACCGGCUAACUACGUG